AUGACCUACGAAUUGAUAGACA
rnacentral:miRNA from 1 species